ACGAACGCUGGCGGCGUGCUUAACACAUGCAAGUCGAACGGUGAAGGGAUCAGCUUGCUGGUUCUGGAUGAGUGGCGAACGGGUGAGUAACACGUGAGUAACCUGCCCCCUUCUUCUGGAUAACCGCAUGAAAGUGUGGCUAAUACGGGAUAUUCUGGGUCUGUCGCAUGAUGGGUCUGGGAAAGAUAUUGUUUCGGUGGGGGAUGGGCUCGCGGCCUAUCAGCUUGUUGGUGGGGUGAUGGCCUACCAAGGCGGUGACGGGUAGCCGGCCUGAGAGGGUGGACGGUCACACUGGGACUGAGACACGGCCCAGACUCCUACGGGAGGCAGCAGUGGGGAAUAUUGCACAAUGGGCGCAAGCCUGAUGCAGCGACGCCGCGUGAGGGAUGGAGGCCUUCGGGUUGUAAACCUCUUUCGCCAGUGAAGCAGGCCUGCUCCUUGUGGGUGGGUUGACGGUAGCUGGAUAAGAAGCGCCGGCUAACUACGUG
rnacentral:rRNA from 1 species